ACGUCUACAUUAGAUACCCCGGUAGUCCUAGCCGUAAACGAUACUCGCUAGGUGUCGGCCACGGUGCGACCGUUGUCGGUGCCGUAGGGAAGCCGUGAAGCGAGCCACCUGGGAAGUACGGCCGCAAGGCUGAAACUUAAAGGAAUUGGCGGGGGAGCACAACAACGGGUGGAGCUUGCGGUUUAAUUGGAUUCAACGCCGGAAAUCUUACCGGGACCGACAGCAACAUGAAGGCCAAGCUGAAGACUUUGCCGGAUUAGCUG
rnacentral:rRNA from 1 species